CAAGGAUGAACAGACACGACGUCUGUUCAAAAUUUUUCUCGCCACGGAUGGCGAUAAAAAUUGGUCCUGUCCGGC
rfam:Vibrio aerogenes CECT 7868 genome assembly, contig: 0040